CGCGUAAUGGCAACGGUCGGCCUGACGGC
rnacentral:sRNA from 1 species